CAGUGUCUGUGUAUUAGUUAACUGGUUAACGUAUGCGGAGGCUUCAGACCUCAGUCUCUGUGUAUUAGUUAACUGGUUAACCUAUAGGGAGGCUUCAGACCUCAGUCUCUGUGUAUUAGUUAACUGGUUAACGUAUGGGGAGGCUUCGGACCUCAGGCCACUCAAAGCGCUUUACAAUACUGCCUAACAUUCACCCAUUCAUACACACAUUCACCCAUUCAUGCACCUCGACACAGUAGGCUCCAGGGGCGGACUGGCCAUCGGGAAUACCGGGGACAUCCCCGGUGGGCCGAUGGCCGAAAAUAUAAUCCCAUCGGCCCAUCACUAUUAUGUACCGGCCCACCAUGUACCGGCCCAUCAUCGCAUCAGCCGAAAUGGUUAACACAGCGGCACAAGCGUAAUUUUCUCCAAGAGCUAUACCUAUCUUAAUCGCACUGACUGACUGACUGACUGACUGACUUUUAUACUGCUACUCGCAAUCGGUCUUCACACUCAUGUUGACUAUUUUUCGAUUUUUUUUUAAGUGUCUUCUAAUAUGUGUUUUGGUGCGCGGUCCAGAUACCGAAUUAUGAUAGCCCUAUACUCCGACAACAAGAAAGUCAUUAGUCCGACAGCCCAUUGUUCCGAAAUUGUAAACAUAGCAGUCCACUGGUAGGCUACAUCAAAUGAAAAUGCUAGGCUACUGUGGUGAAGUUAUGGUGUUUCCAUAGUAAAUAUAUGCUGAUGUUGAGAAGCACAGAGGUAAAGCAACAAGUUGUCUGAGAAAAAGUUGCGAGCAGGGAAAACACAUGGAUAGGGUGGUGUCAUUUAUGUGCCAUGGUGUACUGUAUGAUGAUGUUAUGAUGUUCAUUUAUGAAGACGUGAAAACAGUGGUAGCACUGGCGUGCGAAGUGCUGCAAGAUGCGGCGGGAACCACACCACCUCCACCACAAAAAAUGAAUUCAGUUCACAAUUUAGUGGGUACACACCCAGUCGGAUGAACUCUACCCAUUACUGUGAUGGACGUGGAGUAUACUUUUUUUGUUAAUAAAUAACACCUUUUGGAAGUGUAUAAUGCGUCCACUCUCACUGAUUGCUAUUAACUCAUUGCAUGGCUUAAGAGGUAUGUGGAAAAUAGUUGCACAAUAGUUGGGUUUUCAAAAAGAAACAACUUUCUACACAACUUUAAAGUGUAUGAUGUAUAUUGUAUUGUAUUGAAUUUAGAUUAAUUAAGACCACCACCUUAACACACAAACUCUUGUUGAACUCAUAAAGUAGUAGGUUCAGUGACGUGCGGUGAGACAGCUGUCUUCUGUAGCUUCUGCGAGCCCGUGAAUCAAUGUUUCGUUGGAAUCAUGAUGUAACGUUGUUGUAGCGGGAAUACAGCAAUGCUAUUUUCUAAUUGGCAGGGCAUAUGUAUGAUUCUAGACUUCGCUAAGCACUGAAGCGACUGAAACGGUGAAUUUUGAUCACAUUCAGUGAAGUUAACAGGUAAAACGGGAGAAAAAUAGGGCGUCUUUAGGCCGUCCUGCCUAAAAGUAGGGCGUCCCAUUUCUUCUUAUUUUUUAGUAGACUAUAGGGCAGACGCCCUGCUAGCUAAAAGCCUGGUUGGUGUAGACAUUCGAGGGACCAAAAAGACUGAAAAGGUGUGUUAUCGAAUUUAGUGGGCCGGUCUGGUUCAAAAUGCCCCGGCCGAUUUUUUGUCCCAGUCCGCCCCUGGUAGGCUCACAGCUAGGAGAAGCCGGGGAUCGAAACAGCGACCUCCUGGUUACCAGCCAACCCGCUCCACCUCCUGAGCAACACGCCGACCAAUGGGGAGGCUUGUUUACACAGCCU
rnacentral:lncRNA from 1 species